AAGAUUGAGCUUUUCCUUGGCCAUCCUAAGAUAUCCGUAGCUUCCUGUUCCCAUCUCAGGGCCUGGCAGAGAAUAGGCGUUUAACAGCAUAUAAUGGACAAUGCAGUUACUGGAAGUCUGAAUACAGACGGAAGUUCUGGUUUAGUCCUGACUAGUUCUUUGACCCACAACCUAAACUAAUAGAUGUGUGCAUGUGUUCCAUGUGGUGGAGGAAGCAAGGCCAUCUGUUGCUUCUCCACAACCCUGCCACCCCAUCCUGGAAAAUCCCUGUCACUGCCCUCAAGGUAAUAGGUUGAUGAUACAGUGGUCACUAAGCAAAGCCACUGAAGCAGCCUUCAAGCAAACCCAACAAUCAGGAAAACAGCUAAAAGCUGGCAUUGUCUCAUGGGUUUUAUCUUGUUCUAUUCAUCUCAGGUCUCCAAAAUUUAGAACCUGGCUGCCACUUGCUGAACGUCAAUUUUCUCAGCAGUAAAAUGAGGACAAUGACAGCUACUUCAGAGACUGUUUGAGAACUCACAUGGGAGCAAUGCAUAUAGAAAGCCAAAGCACAGGCCACACAGCCAUAACACAACCUUUGUGUGUGGUCUCUGCAGCCACUGCAAUGGUUAUCAUGCCGAUAGCCUAUGAUUCCAUCAUGAGAAACACGCAGGACAUAAGCGAUCGCCACUUAGACAUCUCUGCCCCAAGGAGAGGCCAUUUCUUCCUAUUCUUUGUUUCCCACCUUUGAGCCAUGGUGCCUAGGUGACCAUGUCACUAGAGACACAGGGGAUACAGAGAAGGUGGAUCCCAGGGCACUUUGGCCUGUUUCUCAGGAUGCUGAGUCACAGGCUGUCCCCCUGGAUUUCAGGCUGAGAGACAAGGAACCCUUAAACCUGGGGUUUUCGUGUCUCUCUCUAUCCUUUAAUCCAACAGAACCAGGGAGGCAUUAAGUGGGUCAGGCGUCUACAGUAAAGGUGAGGAAAGAAAGAUGGGAGGUGACUCAUGUUCAGAAGAUGUGAUGCUGCCCACUGUGAAGGUCCCAGCUGACCCCUGCAGUGUGCCCUCUGCACAGACCUUGUAAAGCUUUCACGUGGGGUGCCUGCCAGUCAUCUUCGGUUCCCUGGUUCCGUCGUGGGGCCUCUGAGGACUCCGCCUAACCAUGCUUUCAGUCCCUGCCACUUUAAAUCAAGGAUUUGAAAGGUAGCUUCUAGGAGUUUUCUGCAUCUUUGGGAAUGGAAAUGACAUUGAGGUAGACCUCAAAGAUUUCUUCCAUUUCCAGUGUGGUGACAUGGUUGGCGAAUUGCCUGCAUGUGAAAACAUGCAGUGGGUGGAAUAACACGGGGUCAACUAGGGCCAUUAAUGGAUCCAAGCAAAGGGCUGGGGCAUCUUCGGUUCUGUCACGGGGCAGUGAAGGCAGGGGAAGGUGGAAGCAAAUACUGAACCACAGCCUCUAGUUCAUGGGCCCUUGCACAACUCAGAUCUCAGCCAAGGCCCUGGAGUGAUCAUGGAAUCUCAUUGGAGGAGCAAGAUCCUAAAAAAAGUCGUCUCCCCAGUUGCCACUGAAGGCUGAAAGCUACCCUGCCCACCUUCCUCACCUGGUGGCUUCCAGGCUCUGAUCGCCUCCAGGUCUGCAACUCUACUCUCAAAGUAUCAGGAAGGGAGUCUGUGCUGAUCCCUCUGACACCAGGUCCCAGGUCACCUCCCCAAGUAAGCCUGCUGGUCCACCUUCCAGGUCACUGUCUACUACGUUCCCCUAGUCUGUCUUUGCAGAGCCAUACUGGGGGCUGUACUACACAUGGGGGUGACCCGCUAUGACGUCAUGGAGCUUAUUCACUGCCUUGCACAGGCAGAGCUGGAGAGCUUCUUUAGCUAACCUGCGGAAAAUGGAUUUGGAGGAAAGUGAAAACUUUGCUACUUACACAACCUUCAGCUCAUGGAGGAGUGGAAAGUUGCUGCUCAGAAUCCUGUGAGGGUACAUAGUGACAACAGAGACACUGCCAACUACGAAGAUGGCAACUCUGCACAUAACGGCAGCACUGACGGCAUGAAGGACCAGUGGACCAGUGUCCUUCCCAGCAGGAUAAAGAAGGGACACACUUUAAGCUAGUUGAAGGCAGUUUCCUAAUCUAUGGGGGGAAAUGAGUCAAAUAUCACUCUGACUUUUUCACACUGGAUGAAGAGGGAAUGGCCCCUUUGUUAGGAGUAGAAGAUUUGGGGAGGAGAUGAACUGAGUCUUAUAAAUGCACUUUCUUCCCUUUGGCUGGCAGGUCCAUGACUCAGGGAGAGAUGGGGGCUGGAGACAUGGGUUUAGGAGUUAUCUGUAGAGUCCUAUGGUUGAGGUCUUGGAAAUUAAGGAAAUUGCCGCAACAGAGAGACAGGAGUUGAAUGGAGCAGGGGAGGAGUCCUGGAAAUCAAGGCAGUGCAGAAAUGGUCAAAACAGUCAAAGCAGGGAGUUCCUGUUGUGGCUCGAUGGUAAUUGCUCAGUGAGUUUAGGAUCCGGCAUUGCCGUUAGCUGUGGUGUAGGUCACAGAUGCGGCUCGGAUCUGGCAGUUGCUGUGGCUGUGGUGUAGGCCAGCAGCUGCAGCUCCAAUUCGACCCCUAGCCUAGGAACCUCCAUGUGCUGCAAGCACUGGCCCUAAAAAGCAAAAAACAAAACAAAACAGUCAAAGCAGGCAUACUGGGAGAUCCAUGUUAAGGGAGGGGAGCUUGAGAUGUGAGGUAGCCCCUGCCAAGGGGGAUUAAAGAUGAGGAAAAGGAUAGAGUUCCCUGGUGGCUCAGGGGGUAAGGAUCCAGCUUUGUCCCUGGUAUGGCUUGGGCUUAACCCCUGGCCUGAAAAGGGUGAGAACCCCUUGGGAUUAUUGGUUAGAGACAUUGCCUCUAUGCAAAUCCCAUUUGCUGCUGUCAAUAGAGAGUCUGUCCCAAAGAGGCCAUUUCUGAGAAACAGAUUCAAGAUAGAAACAACAUUUCUUUCUGUAGAAUUGGUUCAUAGAAACAGAACAUUGGUCUCCUUUGCAGGUGACAAUUUAGGACCAAUAUUUAUUCUUUGCAAUGUUUGUUCUCUAUUUCUUGGGACAGAAAAACAUGCUGCUAACAUCAACAGCCUAAAAAAAAAAUUAAAAAGCCUUGUUCCACUGGGAGUCAAUCUUUUAAAAAAUUCUUAACAUCUGUAUGGAGUCUAUCUAUGCCCAUAUGCAUGGGGAGAGAUAUCAGAUUAUGUCUGAGAGAUGCAGAUAGAAUUUAAUGCUCAUUUAUUUCAGUUUCGCCUGUUUCCAGACUGCUUCACAAGUGCACUGUUUCGAGAGAUGAGAAUUCAAUUAGUCUGUUCUGACUCUCACAUAGACAAUGCCCAGCUCAAGCUAAGACAUAUCAAAUAUUUAUUCACUCCCAGGAUUUCAAUAAUCCAGCCUCCGCCCUCCUCCUCCUGCUGGCCUCAUCUGGCCGGCGCUGUGCUUCAACCUGGGCAAAGAGUGCGGAUCACCGGAAUCAAAGCUGAUGUCAAUACAUCUGUAUGUUUGUACAAGAUGUGGAACAACCUUGCCAAACGGAAGCGAUGGUUUAUAAGUGUUAGACGUGGGAUUUGAGAGGAAAAAUCUUGUUGUACUUCAUGAAUGGAUUUGCCUUUUUUAAAAUGUUUUUCUUUAUAGGGCCACACCUGUGGCAUAUGGAAGAUCCCAGGCUAGGGGUCGAAUCAGAGCCACAGCGGAAGACUAUGCCACAGCCACAGCCACACCAGAUCUGAGCCACAUCUGCGACCUACACCACAGCUUCCAGCCAGAGAUCGAACCUGCAUCCUCACACCCACCAUGUCAGGUUCUUAACCUGCUGGGCCAAAAUGAGAACUUCUGGAUUUGCCUUUUAAUCUCUGACCUUUGGCUUUGGGAUGAACAAUGAUGCUUGUGACCGAAACGCUGGGGUGAGCUUAGAGGGAUGAGCUCUCACUCCCACCCCAUCCUCAGCAUCAAGGAGGCCAAGCAGUACUGGAAGGGACCCAGGAAAAGAGUGACAUUUUCAGGGAGGAAGGUUAUUCACAGAGCCUGGUGCAGUGCUCAGGAGAAGCUGCACGCAUCUCUAACUUGGCCACGUCAUUAAUUCACACCAUCCUUCUUAUUCCUACUCAACCAGGGUUCUGAACUUCAGCCCUACGGACAUUUGGAGCCAGGUAUGUCUUUGUGGUGGGGGACUUCCCUGUCCACUAUAGGAUGUUUCGAAGCAUCCCUGGCUAGAUGCUAAUAGCACCCUCCCAAUUGCAACAACCAAAAAUGUCUCCAGAUAGUGUCAAAUACCCGCUGGGCAGGGGCAAAAUGGCCCUUGGUUGAGAGGCAUGGCACUAAAUAAUCCACAGGACCAAGGUUGGUUUUGAACAACUCACACCUGAAGUCAGUAGUGCCAGAGGAUUUCAGCAUCUGUUUUCUCACUCUGGUGUCUCCCCAUCUCUUCCCACCCCUUAGGAGACCCUAAGCAUGGUUCAACCAUCUACCCAACUGAUCUUAGCUUCUGCCACUACAGACUGGGCAGAAUUUCCUCAUUUCAGAUGGUUUGAUGCCUCUAGAGUCUAGGAUCAGAAAAGGCUACCUUCCUUGCUGACAAUUUUCAUGCGAUAUCUAACAUCUCAUUGGAUGGCUCCAAGGCUGAACCCUUUUCCUGCCACCCACCUGCACCCCUGCCUGGAGAUAAGGGUGUUUAAGGGGAAACCUUUCCUGUGCCAGGCAUGUCCACUGGAUCCUUGUUUGAGCUGAUACCCUUUGUCUAUCUGCUCAGCUUCAAAACCACAGAUCUGUUGGGUGAGAGGGAUUCAAGGAAAACACAGCAAAGGGUGAAGCCUCCGUGUCUUAGUAGGUGGAAGAAGAGCCUCCAGGGAUGAUUUACUUACCCACCUGCUGUAAAUAAAGGCAGAGCUGUGAUCACAGGAGAUAUGAAAUGCUUCGCCUCAGGGGAUCUGCAAGGUCCAGAGCCUCUGGUAGUACAGCUCCCUGGAGCAGAAACUUCCUCUGUGAACUCAGCACCUACUGAUGCAGGCAGGACUACCCAUCACUUAUUCCAUCUCUAAGUCUCUAUUUCUCAUCUAGUAAAAAGUGAGUUCUGAGAAAGCUGAACUUUGCUGAUUCUACUUCUAAAAUGUCUCUUCCAUCCCUACAAUACCUGAUGUAGUUCAGCCUUCAGCUUCAUUAGUGC
rnacentral:lncRNA from 1 species